UACUAUAUAAAAACAUAAGGUGCCUUUGAAAGAAGGUGAAAAGGGAAAGUGGUGAAAAACCACUACAGCCCCCGCUACUGUAAUUGGUGACGAAAUCUGAUAAUACCAUUGGGAAACCGAGAAGGUCAGAAAGUAGGAGGAACCAUGAGUCAGGAAACCUGCCUUGUGUAAAAAAAGCAA
rnacentral:ncRNA from 1 species